UACGUAGGGGCAAGCGUUGUCCGGAUUCAUUGGGCGUAAAGAGCUCGUAGGCGGCUUGGCAAGUCGGGUGUGAAACCUCCAGGCUCAACCUGGAGACGCCACCCGAUACUGCCAUGGCUAGAGUCCGGUAGGGGACCACGGAAUUCCUGGUGUAGCGGUGAAAUGCGCAGAUAUCAGGAGGAACACCGGUGGCGAAGGCGGUGGUCUGGGCCGGCACUGACGCUGAGGAGCGAAAGCCAGGGGAGCAAACGGG
rnacentral:rRNA from 1 species